rnacentral:rRNA from 1 species
AUUGAACGCUGGCGGCAGGCCUAACACAUGCAAGUCGAACGAGUGGCGGACGGGUGAGUAAUGUCUGGGAAACUGCCUGAUGGCGGGGGAUAACUACUGGAAACGGUAGCUAAUACCGCAUACCAUCAGAUGUUCCCAGAUGGGAUUAGCUAGUUGGUGGGGUAACGGCUCACCAAGGCGACGAUCCCUAGCUGGUCUGAGAGGAUGACCAGCCAAACUGGAACUGAGACACGGUCCAGACUCCUACGGGAGGCAGCAGUGGGGAAUAUUGCACAAUGGGCGAAAGCCUGAUGCAGCCAUGCCGCGUGUAUGAAGAAGGUCUUCGGAUUGUAAAGCACUUUUAGUUGGGAAGCGUUACCAACAGAAUAAGCACCGGCUAACUUCGUGCCAGCAGCCGCGGUAAUUC